rnacentral:rRNA from 1 species
GAUGAACGCUGGCGGCGUGCUUAACACAUGCAAGUCGAACGAGGUCCAACCUUCGGGUGAAGACCGAGUGGCGAACGGGUGAGUAACACGUGGGGAACCUGCCCUUCUCUCUGGGAUAACGUCGAGAAAUCGGUGCUAAUACCGGAUACUCCUUGCGGAUCGCAUGGUCUGCUCGGGAAAGCUCCGGCGGAGAAGGAUGGCCCCGCGGCCCAUUAGCUAGUUGGUGAGGUAAUGGCCCACCAAGGCAACGAUGGGGUAGCCGGCCUGAGAGGGUGUACGGCCACACUGGCACUGAGAUACGGGCCAGACACCUACGGGUGGCUG